GGGAAAGAUUUUUUUUGCUGGUUUAGUUAUCCACCGUAUACUUUUGCAAUGUGCAGUUACAGAGAAAAGAAGUCGGAACCUACGGAAAUGAUGCAGCUGGAUGGAUAUACUGUAGAUUAUGUUGAACCAGUGCUUGAUCUUGAAGGUGGGAGGUUUUCUUUUCAAUGCGGUCAAGGAAGGUGAUAGACAAUGAAAAUGGGUGCCAUCUAUGGGUCAUGGCUAUGUACAGGGCUACCUCAUAAACCAACCCCCUUAUUCAACAUCAAACCAGCAAAAACUCUACCAUAUCUAAGUUACA